rnacentral:rRNA from 1 species
CAAUAGCGUAUAUUAAAGUUGUUGCGGUUAAAAAGCUCGUAGUUGGAUUUCUGCCGAGGACGACCGGUCCGCCCUCUGGGUGAGUAUCCGGCUCGGCCUGGGCAUCUUCUUGGAGAACGUAGCUGCACUUGACUGUGUGGUGCGGUAUCCAGGACUUUUACUUUGAGGAAAUUAGAGUGUUUCAAGCAGGCUUACGCCUUGAAUACAUUAGCAUGGAAUAAUAAGAUAGGACCUCGGUUCUAUUUUGUUGGUUUCUAGAGCUGAGGUAAUGAUUAAUAGGGAUAGUUGGGGGCAUUCGUAUUUAACUGUCAGAGGUGAAAUCCUUGGAUUUGUUAAAGACGGACUACUGCGAAAGCAUUUGCCAAGGAUGUUUUCAUUG